rnacentral:tRNA from 1 species
GGAUGAAUGGCUGAGUGGUUAAAAGCAUCAAUUUUGAAAAUUGAUAUAAUCUUUAUCGUGGGUUCGAAUCCUACUUCAUCCG